rnacentral:rRNA from 1 species
AUUGAACGCUGGCGGCAUGCCUUACACAUGCAAGUCGAACGGCAGCACGGGGGCAAUCCUGGUGGCGAGUGGCGAACGGGUGAGUAAUAUAUCGGAACGUGCCCAGUCGUGGGGGAUAACGUAGCGAAAGCUACGCUAAUACCGCAUACGAUCUAUGGAUGAAAGCGGGGGAUCGCAAGACCUCGCGCGAUUGGAGCGGCCGAUAUCAGAUUAGGUAGUUGGUGAGGUAAAGGCUCACCAAGCCGACGAUCUGUAGCUGGUCUGAGAGGACGACCAGCCACACUGGGACUGAGACACGGCCCAGACUCCUACGGGAGGCAGCAGUGGGAAUUUGGACAAUGGGCGCAAGCCUGAUCCAGCAAUGCCGCGUGCAGGAUGAAGGCCUU